CGAUGAACCUCACUUCGGGAGGGGAUUAGUGGCGAACGGGUGAGUAACACGUGGGCAAUCUGCCCUGCACUCUGGGACAAGCCCUGGAAACGGGGUCUAAUACCGGAUACGAGUUUCACAGGCAUCUGUGAUUCUGGAAAGCUCCGGCGGUGCAGGAUGAGCCCGCGGCCUAUCAGCUUGUUGGUGAGGUAACGGCUCACCAAGGCGACGACGGGUAGCCGGCCUGAGAGGGCGACCGGCCACACUGGGACUGAGACACGGCCCAGACUCCUACGGGAGGCAGCAGUGGGGAAUAUUGCACAAUGGGCGCAAGCCUGAUGCAGCGACGCCGCGUGAGGGAUGACGGCCUUCGGGUUGUAAACCUCUUUCAGCAGGGAAGAAGCGAAAGUGACGGUACCUGCAGAAGAAGCGCCGGCUAACUACGUGCCAGCAGCCGCGGUAAUACGUAGGGCGCAAGCGUUGUCCGGAAUUAUUGGGCGUAAAGAGCUCGUAGGCGGCUUGUCGCGUCGGAUGUGAAAGCCCGGGGCUUAACCCCGGGUCUGCAUUCGAUACGGGCAGGCUAGAGUUCGGUAGGGGAGAUCGGAAUUCCUGGUGUAGCGGUGAAAUGCGCAGAUAUCAGGAGGAACACCGGUGGCGAAGGCGGAUCUCUGGGCCGAUACUGACGCUGAGGAGCGAAAGCGUGGGGAGCGAACAGGAUUAGAUACCCUGGUAGUCCACGCCGUAAACGGUGGGCACUAGGUGUGGGCAACAUUCCACGUUGUCCGUGCCGCAGCUAACGCAUUAAGUGCCCCGCCUGGGGAGUACGGCC
rnacentral:rRNA from 1 species